rnacentral:rRNA from 1 species
AAUCAACGCUGGCGGCGUGCCUCAGACAUGCAAGUCGAACGAUUAAACUUUCCUUCGGGGAAGAUAUAAAGUGGCGCACGGGUGAGUAACACGUAAGUAAUCUACCUUCGAGUGGGGAAUAACAUCGGGAAACCGAUGCUAAUACCGCAUAACGCAGCGGCAUCUUAUGGUGACAGUUGUUAAAGGAGCAAUUCGCUUGAAGAGGAGCUUGCGGCAGAUUAGCUAGUUGGUAAGGUAAUGGCUUACCAAGGCUUCGAUCUGUAUCCGGUCUAAGAGGACGGUCGGACGCACUGACACUGAAUAACGGGCCAGACCCCUACGGGAGGCAGCAGUCGGGAAUUUUGGGCAAUGGGCGAAAGCCUGACCCAGCAACGCCGCGUGAAGGAUGAAGUAUUUUGGUAUGUAAACUUCGAAAGAAUGGGAAGAACUCAAUGACGGUACCAUUUAUAAGCUCCGGCUAACUACGUGCCAGCAGCCGCGGUAAUACGUAGGGAGCAAGCGUUGUUCGGAUUUACG